rnacentral:misc_RNA from 1 species
GUUUGCUAUCAACUUUUUCACUUCUAUCGGUUUGGGUGGAAUUACCGAGAGCCUGCGAGAGUAUCUCAAGAACAUGCCAAGGCUUAUCAUGCAACAACAGAAGCCUGUUUCUGAUUCAGAUGAGUCUGGUAGUUCAUCUGGUUCUGAAUCUUCAGAAUCUGAGUCGGAAUCAUCUUCUUCCAGUUCUGAGGAAAGUGAUGAUAGUCGAAGGAAGCAGAGGAAGAGGAGAAGAUAGAGAGACCAUAGAUUACUCAUCAAUCUGAAUACUGAUACCUAUUUCGAUCGAGAACUAGUCACUACGUGUUGUCAUCCUGAGAAAAUUAGAUUUUUGUUUGCCUCGUAUGUUUAAUCCUCUACUAUUUGUGCAGUUUCAGUUUUGGCUUUUGUUCCAGUUUUGACUAGUUGAACCUUGUAGAA